UACGUAGGGUGCGAGCGUUAAUCGGAUUUACUGGGCGUAAAGCGCGCGUAGGUGGUUUGAUAAGCGAGAUGUGAAAGCCCCGGGCUUAACCUGGGAAUUGCGCUUGUGACUGGCGGGCUCGAGUACGGUAGAGGGGGGUGGAAUUCCUGGUGUAGCAGUGAAAUGCGUAGAGAUCAGGAGGAACACCGAUGGCGAAGGCAGCCCCCUGGGCCUGUACUGACGCUCAUGCACGAAAGCGUGGGGAGCAAACAGG
rnacentral:rRNA from 1 species